UUUUUCUGUAUUCUAGUGUACAAUGGAAUAUUGUGGAGGAGGAUCAUUGGCAAAUCUAGUCCAGUCUACAAGAAACCGGUCACUCCCUGAGCGUUGUAUUCAAUACAUAUCCAGGGAGGUUUUACAGGUAAAUUGGGAUUUAAUCUCUAUGCAUUUUGCAGCUCAACAUGAUAUUAAUAUCUUUUAAUAAUGACAAAUGACAUAAUAAUGUGUUGCCUUAGGAUAUAAAUUACAAGCUAUGAAUCUUUUUUCCUUAGGGCCUGGAUUAUAUCCACAAAAACCUUUUUAUACAUCGUGACAUCAAAGGGUUGAACAUUGUCUUGACACAAAAGGCAGAAGUCAAGAUAAUCGAUUUUGGAUUGGCUGCAGAGCUCCAACACCCAGACGAAAGAGUCAUGGGUUGCACAGGAACCCCAAGUUAUAUGGCUCCUGAAGUGAUUAUGGAAGAUGAAACUGGAUACAACUUUAAGUGCGACAUCUGGUCCUUCGGCAUCACUGUUAUAGAAAUGGCCCAAGGCUAUUCACCCUUUCGCAGGAUGUCCGAGCAAACUAUAAAGAACAACAUCUUCAAAAUGAAGCCACUAGAGCUGCAAUCCAAGUGCUGGUAAGUCACUUUCCUAAAUGGUCUCCAUGAGCAUUUGUACUAGAAAUGUAAUAAACCGCCAGAUAUUUCCGCAAGCAAGUUUUUGACAAAAAUUACAAUUAUAUCAAUU